AUUGCCCCAGUAACGGCGAGUGAAGCGGCAACAGCUCAAAUUUGAAAUCUGGCCCUCGGGUCCGAGUUGUAAUUUGUAGAGGAUGCUUUUGGCGAGGUGCCUUCCGAGUUCCCUGGAACGGGACGCCAUAGAGGGUGAGAGCCCCGUCUGGUCGGACACCGAGCCUCUGUAAAGCUCCUUCGACGAGUCGAGUAGUUUGGGAAUGCUGCUCAAAAUGGGAGGUAUAUGUCUUCUAAAGCUAAAUAUUGGCCAGAGACCGAUAGCGCACAAGUAGAGUGAUCGAAAGAUGAAAAGCACUUUGAAAAGAGGGUUAAAAAGUACGUGAAAUUGUUGAAAGGGAAGCGCCUAUGACCAGACUUGAGCCCGGUGAAUCAUCCAGCGUUCUCGCUGGUGCACUUUGCCGGGUCCAGGCCAGCAUCAGUUUGGCGCGGGGGAUAAAGGUGGUGGGAAUGUGGCUCCCUCGGGAGUGUUAUAGCCCGCUACGUAAUACCCUGCGCCGGACUGAGGUACGCGCAUUGCAAGGAUGCUGGCGUAAUGGUCAUCAGCGACCCGUCUUGAAACACGGACCAAGGAGUCGUCUUCGUAUGCGAGUGUUCGGGUGUCAAACCCCUACGCGUAAUGAAAGUGAACGCAGGUGAGAGCUUCGGCGCAUCAUCGACCGAUCCUGAUGUUCUCGGAUGGAUUUGAGUAAGAGCAUACGGGGCCGGACCCGAAAGAAGGUGAACUAUGCCUGUAUAGGGUGAAGCCAGAGGAAACUCUGGUGGAGGCUCGCAGCGGUUCUGACGUGCGAAUCGAUCGUCAAAUAUGGGCAUGGGGGCGAAAGACUAAUCGAACCUUCUAGUAGCUGGUUUCCGCCGAAGUUUCCCUCAGGAUAGCAGUGUUGAACUCAGUUUUAUGAGGUAAAGCGAAUGAUUAGGGACUCGGGGGCGCUAUAUUGCCUUCAUCCAUUCUCAAACUUUAAAUAUGUAAGAAGCCCUUGUUACUUAAUUGAACGUGGGCAUUCGAAUGUAUCAACACUAGUGGGCCAUUUUUGGUAAGCAGAACUGGCGAUGCGGGAUGAACCGAACGCGAGGUUAAGGUGCCGGAGUGGACGCUCAUCAGACACCACAAAAGGUGUUAGUACAUCUUGACAGCAGGACGGUGGCCAUGGAAGUCGGAAUCCGCUAAGGACUGUGUAACAACUCACCUGCCGAAUGUACUAGCCCUGAAAAUGGAUGGCGCUCAAGCGUCCCACCCAUACCUCGCCCUCAGGGUAGAAACGAAGCCCUGAGGAGUAGGCGGACGUGGAGGUCAGUGACGAAGCCUA
rnacentral:rRNA from 1 species